AAAAAAAAAGAUUUUAAAUCUGGGCCUUAAUCUUCUCUUCUCAGACCUACUCUUCUCUUCUUUUCUCCUCUCUCUCUCUCUCUGCGUUUUCGUUUUGUCAUCGUGUUACUGUGUUUUCCGGGAACAAUGGGUAUCAUUGAGAAGAUCAAAGAAAUUGAAGCCGAGAUGGCUCGGACCCAGAAAAACAAAGCCACUGAGUAUCAUCUUGGGCAACUCAAGGCAAAGAUAGCAAAACUAAGGACACAAUUAUUGGAGCCUCCAAAAGUAUGAUGUUAUAUAGUUGCUGUUUAUUUGACA